UGGAUCCAGACUUUGAUCCUGGCUCAGGAUGAACGCUAGCGACAGGCCUAACACAUGCAAGUCGAGGGGCAGCGGGGAGGUAGCAAUACCUUUGCCGGCGACCGGCGCACGGGUGAGUAACACGUAUGCAAUCCACCUGUAACAGGGGGAUAACCCGGAGAAAUCCGGACUAAUACCCCAUGAUAUGGGCUCUCCGCAUGGAGGGUCCAUUAAAGAGAGCAAUCUUGGUUACAGACGAGCAUGCGCUCCAUUAGCCAGUUGGCGGGGUAACGGCCCACCAAGGCGACGAUGGAUAGGGGUUCUGAGAGGAAGGUCCCCCACAUUGGAACUGAGACACGGUCCAAACUCCUACGGGAGGCAGCAGUGAGGAAUAUUGGUCAAUGGUCGGCAGACUGAACCAGCCAAGUCGCGUGAGGGAAGACGGCCCUACGGGUUGUAAACCUCUUUUGUCGGAGAGUAAAGUGCGCUACGCGUAGCGUAUUGCAAGUAUCCGAAGAAAAAGCAUCGGCUAACUCCGUGCCAGCAGCCGCGGUAAUACGGAGGAUGCGAGCGUUAUCCGGAUUUAUUGGGUUUAAAGGGUGCGUAGGCGGCACGCCAAGUCAGCGGUGAAAUUUCCGGGCUCAACCCGGAGUGUGCCGUUGAAACUGGCGAGCUAGAGUGCACAAGAGGCAGGCGGAAUGCGUGGUGUAGCGGUGAAAUGCAUAGAUAUCACGCAGAACCCCGAUUGCGAAGGCAGCCUGCUAGGGUGCGACAGACGCUGAGGCACGAAAGCGUGGGUAUCGAACAGGAUUAGAUACCCUGGUAGUCCACGCAGUAAACGAUGAAUACUAACUGUUUGCGAUACAAUGUAAGCGGUACAGCGAAAGCGUUAAGUAUUCCACCUGGGGAGUACGCCGGCAACGGUGCAACUCAAAGGAAUUGACGGA
rnacentral:rRNA from 1 species